UACCAGCACCCCGAGUGGUCGGGACGAUUAUUGGGCCUAAAGCAUCCGUAGCCGGUCAUGCAAGUCCUCCGUUAAAUCCACCUGCUUAACAGAUGGGCUGCGGAGGAUACUACAAGGCUAGGAGGCGGAAGAGGCAAGCGGUACUCAGUGGGUAGGGGUAAAAUCCUCUGAUCCAUUGAAGACCACCAGUGGCGAAGGCGGCUUGCCAAUACGCGCUCGACGGUGAGGGAUGAAAGCUGGGGAGGCAAACCGG
rnacentral:rRNA from 1 species